AGCUUUGCACAGUGGCAGUAUUGUAGCCAAUGAGGUUAAUCCGAGGCACGAUUAUUGCUAAUUGAAAACUUUUCCCAAUACCCUGCCAUGACGACUUGGGAACAGGCUGCCCAGGGAGGUGGUGGAAUCACCAUCUCUGGAAGUGUUCAAAAAACG
rnacentral:snRNA from 1 species